rnacentral:snRNA from 1 species
AACCACAGUUAGAAGGUCCAG